ACGCCGAUGGUGAAACGGUUAUCAUGCUUGCCUUCCAUACCUGAUAAAAAGUAGUGUGCUUUCAGCAAGCGGUAGGGGUUCGACUCCCUUUCGGCGUA